rnacentral:rRNA from 1 species
UGCCUAAUACAUGCAAGUCGAGCGAGCUGAACCAACAGAUUCACUUCGGUGAUGACGUUGGGAACGCGAGCGGCGGAUGGGUGAGUAACACGUGGGGAACCUGCCCCAUAGUCUGGGAUACCACUUGGAAACAGGUGCUAAUACCGGAUAAGAAAGCAGAUCGCAUGAUCCGCUUAUAAAAGGCGGCGUAAGCUGUCGCUAUGGGAUGGCCCCGCGGUGCAUUAGCUAGUUGGUAGGGUAACGGCCUACCAAGGCAAUGAUGCAUAGCCGAGUUGAGAGACUGAUCGGCCACAUUGGGACUGAGACACGGCCCAAAC